AUACGGAGGGUGCGAGCGUUAAUCGGAAUUACUGGGCGUAAAGCGUACGUAGGCGGUUGGUUAAGUUAGAUGUGAAAGCCCCGGGCUUAACCUGGGAACUGCAUUUAAAACUGGAUAACUAGAGUUUAGGAGAGGGAAGUGGAAUUUCAGGUGUAGCAGUGAAAUGCGUAGAGAUCUGAAGGAACACCAGUGGCGAAGGCGACUUCCUGGACUAGAACUGACGCUGAGGAACGAAAGCGUGGGUAGCAAACGGGAUUAGAAACCCCAGUAGUCC
rnacentral:rRNA from 1 species